rnacentral:ribozyme from 1 species
AUGAUAAUAACAAAACAGGUAAGAAAGAAGCAAACAAUAAUAGGAACCACAUCAUAUAUUUGCAGUAUCUCUUGGAUUCCUUUUCUCUCCUUUUCUUCUUCUUUUUCUUCUUUUCUCUCUC